GGCCGGGUGGCCUAGUGGUCAGAGCGUUAGUCGCGUAUGCUGAAGACGCGGGUUUGAUUCCCGCCUCGGCCA